AGAUCAGUUUGACUGAGAGCAGGGGAGGGGCCUUGAGAGCCCACUGAGGCUAAACUUAGCGUGCUCAUGUGACCACACACACCCUUGGCCACAGCAGUUCUUAGUGGAGCCUACAAACUUGUCUGGGUUGGCACGAUUCGAUGGAGUCCAAGCAGGCCUUGAACUUGAGUCCCUCCGGCCUCGGCCUCCUGAAGAUCAGGAUGACAGCUAUUAGAUGCACAGGUCACUGUAGUGUCCAUACUCUGAAACUUCGACAGAGACUUUUAUCUGAUGUUGUUUCCUCAAGGCCUAGCAUAUAAUGCGCUCCAUAGACAGUCCCUCUACUCAUUUUAAAACUGGAUUUUUGCCCAAGUGCCUGUGGAAGCCAGAAGUGAGAGCUGGAUCCCUUGGAGCUGGGGCUAUAGGGAGUUGUGGGCCAUCCAACACAGCCAUUGGAUGCAGAACUCAGGUCCUCUGUAAGAGCAGCAUGUGCUCUUAAAAACUGAGCCAUCUCUCCAGCUACUGCUAUAAAACUUCACCCAGGUGUACCUGCUUAGCUGUGUUCGCUGGCAUCACCUUCUCUCUGCGAGCAUACCAUAAGCUGCCCCUUCCUUUUGGUGAAUAGUUUGCCCUUCUUUUAAAGUGUGUUGACUCUGAUGUUCCUAUUUCACUCUGCGCUCAUCUUCUUGCUCUCCCUGCCCAUCCAGGUGCUUUCUGCCCUCAUUUCUCCAUGUGUGUAAAUCUGGCAACAUGGGUUUUGUUAGAAACAUAGGACCUCAGAACGCCACAGGAUUAACUGAACCUGAAUCUGCCUUCUAAGGAAAAGCAAGGGUGAUCUGUAUCCCCUUACAGUUGGAGAAGCUCUGCCUUACGUCUCUGGCAAUGUCUACUGUCCUAGCUCAUGGCCUCCCUACACCCUGGUCUCCUAUCAUCCUUCAGGCAUCAGCCUCCUCUGUAUUAGUCAUCCGUGACUUUGUAUAAAGUCACCAUAAAACUGGACGGUGGUGGUGCACAUUUUUAAUCC